UGUGAUUCUCGAUGAUGAAGAUCUUGCGAAGGAAACUGAAGAUACGUUUAGUGGAAAAUAAAAUUACUGAGGAGAUCGCAGGUGUAACAUGAGAGUUUAGAAGAAAUAUCUUCGAAGAAUUGUAUGAUUGUUUAGAAAGUUUGAUUUAAAUCGGGGGUGUAAAUUUAUGUAAUAAACAGAUCCAGUUUCUCGUCUAAACGAUGAAUCUUGCACGUGCUCGAGAAAGAAGAUAUCGGCGGAGAACUAUAAAAUUUACAGCGGUGUUUAUGAACCGUGGCUUUUUACAUCAAUGUUGAUGUUUUUAAAACAUCGUUUUUUUUUUAAACACCAAUUGAAUCACGAAAAACAUCUCGAUAGAACAUCUAAGAAUGUUCUUGGAUUGACCCAGUAACUUUGUCCAAUAUGAAUUCUUCAAGAUAAAUUUAUUAAAGUAUUUAAUUACAUUGAAUACCUUGUAGAUAAUUUUACUUUCCCACAAAUCGUAAGAAUUUUAUAUGCCUAUAAUUUUAUAAACAGGGAAUGAGGAAAAUAGCGACUAUAAGAGUUGCAUUCCAUUCGACUAUGACUUGGCAUAGAGCGAACAUCGAUUGAACCUACGCAAAGAAUGCACAAAGCGAGCGUACACGUGCACAACACGAACAAUCAAUCCUUUCAACAAACUUCAAGGCUACAGAAAAAGGAGGCAAAUGCAGAUUAAAAACAGGAGAAUGAAAUAUUGUUGAAAAGAUAUAAACAAAUGGAAAAAGUUGAUGUCUGUGCAGACACAUUGUCGGUUCAUUAAAAUUUCCUACAUACUGAGACGAAUUCCAUUCCUUUCGACGAAUGAAUAGUCCGUUUGUUCGCAAACUGGAGCACAAGAAGCAUGACGUUGCGUAAGAUAAAUUACGUGUUUGUUCAUAGAAACGACAAUGUAUUGGUAGUGAUGAUGUGUCGCGCAAAACAUAGUCUUUUUCCUUCUAACAUUGAAAUAUUUAUACACCUGGAAUGGAAGUAUGUCAAAAUGACCAAGAUAAAACAAUGGGUUUCCAUAAAUUCUAUUUAUUGAUUUUUCACUUUUUCUCUUUUGCAAUUUAUAUUUUUCUCAAAACAGCUCCAACUAUUGGUAUAUAACAUACAACCUUCUUUAAAAAUCAAUUACGGUGUAGAAACAAAUUUAAAAUCGGGCAUCAAUUUGUUUCUUGAAGUAGUACAAUAUUGUGUGUUUAUCAAAACAUUAAGAUGAAAAAUAAGUUUUAGAUACUAGCACUUACCUUGGAAGA